rnacentral:lncRNA from 1 species
UUCUAUUAGAAAAGGGAAGCUGUAUAAAAAGAAUGGUAAAACAUCAGAGAAAAAAUAAUGUUUUCCCCACUGUAACUAGGUAACAGAGGUUUCCUGGAUCAUCACUGGUAAAGGCUCUGAGGUGAACGACAACCAGUGUACCAGUGUUGGGGACACGUUUAACCCCUUCAACAUGGAAGCUGGGGUGAGUUUAUUCUCUCAUUUUCACUUACAAUACAUCAUGGCCCUUCUUCAUGAAGUGUCUAGGAUAGAUCAGAAUUCCUACUCUGAGACACUUUAUGAAUAAGGGCCCAGUACCUAGCCAUCAUAGGAGAAUUUCCCCCACUGUGUAGUCCACUGUGUAGUCCACUGUGCAGCGCUGAUCUCUGCUUUAUUUCAACUUUAAAGUUCCACUUGAUCAACAAGUCUUAUGGAAUCCAACAGAACUGUGUUUGAUAUUCCAUCGAAUCUUUGUCUUUGACAAUGUCACAGUUGUUGGGUUUUGAGUUUGCAAGAAAGGCAUUUCACUGUACUUAUGCAUGUGACAUUAAAACUUGCAACUACACCACAACCACAACCAUAUACUUCACAUCGUUCUCAUAACCAGAAGUGGAAGUGUUUGUUGGAAUUGGUUUCAAUAGAAUUAGAAUGAGUAGAACAGUCAUGGAACCUCUGACCCAGCCCUAUUGACUUGAAUGGGGACGUCCCUUCUAGUAAUUCUAUUUCUAUGGUUGGUUCCGUCCUCUGCUCUGUUCUGUUCUCUCUCAGAACUCCAGUUGUUCCCGUGACAACGCUCUGAGUUGUGAGGUGGGAGACCUGACGAACAGACAGGGGACAGUCAGCCUGACACACAGACAGCUGUACACCGACACCAGCAUACAACUGGCUGGGGACUACACAGUGGUCCACAGGUCCCUGGUCCUGAGGAGCGGCAGCGAUGUCUUCGCGUGUGCCGUCAUUCUUCCAGAAUCCCCCUGGGCAGAGCAGACCUUCCCCAACGUCAUGUCUUUCAGCAGAUAUGACUUCCGCAAUAGGGUGGCAGAGGUCCUAGAGGUGAACAUGUCCAGGGUCACCAUCCUUCCAGGGUCUCCUCUGGCCACAGUGGACAGACCAUGCCAGAAAGUCAGCUUCCUUGUCUCAGGGGAGGUGAGUACGGACAAGAUGAACUCUAUCAAAGACAGUGAGAAGAUGGGCAUCUUCAAGCAGACAGAAGGUUGCUCAAGUAAGUACACCACUGACACACACACACACACACACACACACAAUACAGUAGGUGGGAUAGUGUAUAACUGAACAGAAACAUACAAAUAAACCUUACUGUGUAGACGUAUUAAUGUAAUACAAUCUUUCAUCUCAAUGUUCAUUUAAACAGGAAGUUCUGGACAACUGCUGGAGCCUGGGAGACAUCUGGUGAUGUUGACGAUAGCUGCAGCCUACUUCCUACACUCUCUGAUCCAGCAGUAGUUUAUACUGUAGAUCUAGGUUUGCAUCCCAAAUGGUACCCUAUUCCCCAUAUAGUGCACUACUUCUGACCAGAGACUUUUAAAACUUUUUUUUUAUUUCACCUUUAUUUAACCAGGUAUGCCAGUUGAGAACAAGUUCUCAUUUACAACUGCGACCUGGCCAAGUUAAAGCAAAGCAGUGCGACACAAACAACACGGAUUUACACAUGGAAUAAACAAAUGUACAGUCAAUAACACAAUAGAAAAAAAUCUAUAUACAGUGUGUGCAAAUGAGGUAAGAUUAGGGAGGUAAGGCAAUAAAUAGGCUGUAGUGGCGAAGUAAUUACAAUUUAGCAAUUAGGAGCAAAAAAAUAAAAUAAUAACAAUAUGGGGAUGAGGUAGUUGGAUGGGCUAUUUACAGAUGGCCUAUGUACAGGUGCAAUGAUCUGUGAGCUGCUCUGACAGCUGAUGCUUAAAGUUAGUGAGGGAGAUAUGAGUCUCUAGCUUCAGUGAUUUUUGCAACUCGUUCCAGUCAUUGGCAGCAGAGAACUGGAAGGAAAGGCGGCCAAAGAAGGAAUUGACUUUGGGGUUGACCGGUGAAAUAUACCUGCUGGAGCGCGUGCUACGGGUGGGUGCUGCUAUGGUGACCAGUGAGUUGAGAUAAGGCAGGGCUUUACCUAGCAAAGACUUGGGCUUUGGUCAAAAGUAGUGCACUGUAUAGGGAAUAAGGUGCCAUUUGGGCAUAGCCCUAACCCUCACUCUGAAUCAACACUGGAACUGUCAAAUAUUCCUAUUUUCUAAACUGCAAUUUAGUCUAUAUUUUGAUGAUCUUUUUGUCAUUGAUCUGAAUGGUGUGGGUUUGAAUUUGCUCUUGAAGCAAGCAUUUUGUUGUUUAUUCGUUUUUUAUCCUAGAUAUAAAAAAUAUAUAUACUUUAGAUGCCAACUAAAUGCCAACUUCCUGUAUUAUAUUGUAAAUAUUCCACAUUUGGGUAGAUAUGUAUACUGUUUCAGCCCAAUAUCCAGAACAUCAAAGCAAACGUAAUAGAGCAACAAUUGUUCAUUGUCCUUCCAUGUCCAAUUACUGUAUCAAAAAUGCAAUUUGAAAGAAAGAGAUGCUGUAAAUGUUUGCAAAUGUGUCCCAUUGUAUGUAUGCAUUGUUUUCUCAUGCAUUAAUGUAUUAAACUGCCACUUUCCCAUUUAAGGUGAAUUUCCAAGUCUUGCAUAUAUGUUUUUAUUGAGUAACCAUAAAAAAUAAUAUGUGAUGAUGAAAAAAAAAUAUUUUGAUAAAUACCGAUUAUUGAAAACGUGAAUUUCAUGAAAUCUCUAUAGGCCUUUUGCUCCUAUGCAGGGGCGUAGUCUACAUACUGUUUCAUACAUGUUGUUUACUUGAGCCGCUGCAUUUUGAAUUAAAGGGAGGCGAGCCUCAUCUCCGUGUGGUUAUUGGAAGAAGCUCGUGUCACGUGACCGGGAACGUCAACGAUUCAAUGGCAGCCUACUGUUUUGUAAAUUAACACAAGGGACAGCUGCAUAAAAUACUGUUUUAAACGACAGAAUCGCAUUUCUAAGGUAAAUGUACAAUUCAACGUUAUCUUAUUAAACUGACAUGGUGUUAACAAACUUUCUAGCUGGGGUUCAGUUGCCCGAUGCAAGAAAGCAAUGAAUGGAGAAUAUCGUGUGGUUGUAAUGUGGAAGACGCUCGCGUGCUACAUGCUACUCACGUAGCCCCAUUAGUGUUGUCUAGCUAGCAAGAUAGGCAAAGCCCACGAAUGUUUUUGGUAGAAAAUAUAUGUCUAAUGUGUUAACUACUACAGCUAUGAAC